rnacentral:tRNA from 3 species
CGCGGAGUGGAGCAGUUGGUAGCUCGUCGGGCUCAUAACCCGAAGGUCGUUGGUUCAAGUCCUUCCUCCGCAACCA